rnacentral:rRNA from 1 species
AACGAACGCUGGCGGCAUGCCUAACACAUGCAAGUCGAACGAAGGCUUCGGCCUUAGUGGCGCACGGGAGCGUAACGCGUGGGAAUCUGCCCUUUGCUUCGGAAUAACAGUUAGAAAUGACUGCUAAUACCGGAUGAUGUCGCAAGACCAAAGAUUUAUCGGCAAAGGAUGAGCCCGCGUAGGAUUAGCUAGUUGGUGGGGUAAAGGCCUACCAAGGCGACGAUCCUUAGCUGGUCUGAGAGGAUGAUCAGCCACACUGGGACUGAGACACGGCCCAGACUCCUACGGGAGGCAGCAGUGGGGAAUAUUGGACAAUGGGCGAAAGCCUGAUCCAGCAAUGCCGCGUGAGUGAUGAAGGCCUUAGGGUUGUAAAGCUCUUUUACCCGGGAUGAUAAUGACAGUACCGGGAGAAUAAGCUCCGGCUAACUCCGUG